GAUGAACGCUGGCGGCGUGCUUAACACAUGCAAGUCGAACGAGAAGUGAAGACGGAAACCUUCGGGCGGAAGGCUUUAUUUCGAGUGGCGGACGGGUGAGUAACGCGUGGGUAACCUGCCUCAUACAGGGGGAUAACAGUUGGAAACGACUGUUAAUACCGCAUAAGACCACAGCACCGCAUGGUGCGGGGGUAAAAACUCCGGUGGUAUGAGAUGGACCCGCGUUCGAUUAGCCAGUUGGCGGGGUAACGGCCCACCAAAGCGACGAUCGAUAGCCGAUCUGAGAGGAUGACCGGCCACAUUGGGAGUGAGACACGGCCCAAACUCCUACGGGAGGCAGCAGUGGGGAAUAUUGCACAAUGGGGGAAACCCUGAUGCAGCGACGCCGCGUGAGUGAAGAAGUAUUUCGGUAUGUAAAGCUCUAUCAGCAGGGAAGAAAAUGACGGUACCUGAGGAAGAAGCCCCGGCUAACUACGUG
rnacentral:rRNA from 1 species